AGAGUUUGAUCCUGGCUCAGAUUGAACGCUGGCGGCAUGCCUUACACAUGCAAGUCGAACGGCAGCAUGGAAGAGCUUGCUCUUCUGAUGGCGAGUGGCGAACGGGUGAGUAAAGCAUCGGAACGUACCGUGUAGUGGGGGAUAACGUAGCGAAAGUUACGCUAAUACCGCAUACGCACUGAGGUGGAAAGCAGGGGAUCGCAAGACCUUGCGCUAUACGAGCGGCCGAUGUCAGAUUAGCUAGUUGGUAGGGUAAAGGCCUACCAAGGCGACGAUCUGUAGCGGGUCUGAGAGGAUGAUCCGCCACACUGGGACUGAGACACGGCCCAGACUCCUACGGGAGGCAGCAGUGGGGAAUUUUGGACAAUGGGCGAAAGCC
rnacentral:rRNA from 1 species